UACGACUACAUAUCAGGCAUAUCAAUAAGCGGAGGAAAAGAAACUAACUAGGAUUCCCUCAGUAACGGCGAGUGAAGCGGGAAGAGCUCAAAUUUGAAAUCUUCAAGGUUUUACCUUGACGAAUUGUAGUUUAAAGAAGUGUUUUCUGUUGGUGUUUCGGUAAAAGUUCUUUGGAAUAGGACAUCAUAGAGGGUGAGAAUCCCGUAUUUGACCAUUACUUCCAGCGUUGUGAUACACUUUCAAAGAGUCGGAUUGUUUGGGAAUGCAGUCCAAAAUGGGUGGUAAAUUUCAUCUAAAGCUAAAUAUUGGCGAGAGACCGAUAGCGAACAAGUACCGUGAGGGAAAGAUGAAAAGAACUUUGAGAAGAGAGUUAAACAGUACGUGAAAUUGUCAAAAGGGAAGCGUUUGACACCAGUGUUGUUUUUCUCGAAAAUCAAUUACAAAUGGGUUAUUUUGUAGGAGUUAUGACUUCAUCAGCUUGCUGCACUUUCUUUAUGUACUUUCUUAAUGCACUUUUCGUUUAACAAGUCAACAUCAAUUUCUUUUGUUGUAAAAGAGUAUGAAGAAGGUGGCUUUCUUUUCGGAGAAAGUGUUUAUAGCCUUGUGCCUCUGCAAUCGGAGAGAUUGAGGUCUGCAGCGUAGAUCCUUCGGGGUUAGAUACGUUUGUGCUAAGUUAUAGUUUUUCAUAGACAACAUGUUGACUAUGAUUAAUCAUGUAGCUUACUCGCUUAUGCUAUUUUACCUACGCUUAGGAUGUUGAUCUCUCACAGUCGAGC
rnacentral:rRNA from 1 species